rnacentral:rRNA from 1 species
UUAUAAAUGUUAAUUUAUUACUUAAUUAUUAAAAGUUAUGUUCUUUAAAGUUAAAGAUUUUGGCGGUAUUUUAGUCUAUUCAGAGGAACCUGUUCUAUAAUUGAUAGUCCACAAUUAGUUAUACCAAUAUUAUUAAUUUAUAUAUCGUCGUAGUUUGAAUAUUUUAUAAAAAUAAAUAAUAUUCAAGAUUUUUUAUAAGAAAAUAAAUCAGAUCAAGGUGUAGUUUAUAUAUUGGAAGAAAUGGGUUAUAUUAUAUAUAAAUUUUGAUAAAAAUUUUAAAAGUUUUUUGAAUUUGGAUUUGACAGUAAUUUUAAUUAUAUUAUUAAAAUGAUUUUAGCUCUAAAAUAUG